rnacentral:tRNA from 1 species
GAGCCCGUGGCUCAAUGGUAAAGCGUUUGACUAAAUACCAAAGGACGUGGGUUCGAAUCCCAGGUGUUCC